UACGUAGGGGGGCAAGCGUUUGUCCGGAAUCAUUGGGCGUAAAGCGCGUGUAGGCGGUCCGGUAAGUCCGCUGUGAAAGUCGGGGGCUUAACCCUCGGAUGCCGGUGGAUACUGUCGGGCUUGAGUACGGAAGAGGCGAGUGGAAUUCCUGGUGUAGCGGUGAAAUGCGCAGAUAUCAGGAGGAACACCAAUUGCGAAGGCAGCUCGCUGGGACGUUACUGACGCUGAGACGCGAAAGCGUGGGGAGCAAACAGG
rnacentral:rRNA from 1 species